rnacentral:rRNA from 1 species
GACGAACGCUGGCGGCGUGCUUAACACAUGCAAGUCGAACGGAAAGGCCCUGCUUGCAGGGUACUCGAGUGGCGAACGGGUGAGUAACACGUGGGUGAUCUGCCCUGCACUUCGGGAUAAGCUUGGGAAACUGGGUCUAAUACCGGAUAGGAACCAUCUUUAGUGUGGUGGUUGGAAAGUUUUUUCGGUGUAGGAUGAGCUCGCGGCCUAUCAGCUUGUUGGUGGGGUAAUGGCCUACCAAGGCGGCGACGGGUAGCCGGCCUGAGAGGGUGUACGGCCACAUUGGGACUGAGAGACGGCCCAGACUCCUACGGGAGGCAGCAGUGGGGAAUAUUGCACAAUGGGCGCAAGCCUGAUGCAGCGACGCCGCGUGGGGGAUGAAGGGCUUCGGGUUGUAAACUCCUUUCGCUAGGGACGAAGCUUUUUGUGACGGUACCUAGAUAAGAAGCACCGGCUAACUACGUG